AGACUAGCCUGGNCUCGCGAAUGCCUUAGAUUUAGUUUGAUCAUGGCUCAGAACGAACGCUGUGCGGCGUGCUUAACACAUGCAAGUCGAGUGCGCGUUCGUAGCAAUACGGAAUGGCGCACGGCGCACGGGUGCGUAACACGUGGGUAACCUGCCCUUUGGUGGGGAAUAACUCCGCGAAAGCGGAGCUAAUUCCGCAUAAGAUCCGCAAGGAUGAAAGCCGCAAUGGCGCCGAAAGGAGAGGGCCCAGCGACCCGAAUUAGCUAGUUAGGUGAAGGUAAUAGGCUCAGCCAAGGGCUUUGAUCGGUAGCUGGUCUGACGACAGCGACUAGAACUCACAGCCCACACUAGGGAAACCCUAGAAGAAGCAACNGGANCCAAGAACCUACCCAUAAACCGAGAGAAAAGGAGGCCCACAGGGCCAACGGCAGUAGCGGCGCAGGAAACUUCUAAUGGCAAACCACAACCUAGCGGAGGACCNUGNACAACAAGGGCGCCAUUGGGACUANGCCCAAAGACCGGGACACCGGCCCCCGGGAACAGGUUUGGNGCAGCGCGGCA
rnacentral:rRNA from 1 species